CUUAAAAAUGUCUUAGAAAAUGAAUUAUUUUAUAAAAUGAAACUCAUUUAUAGUUCAUGAAAUUAGAGGUCAGCAAAUUGGGGCAUGUCCACCUUGGGUACAGGAAAAGUAUUACACAUGUCUUACUUGCAUUUCUUUUCUUUCUUUUUUUUUUUUGAGAUAUGGAGUCUCACUCUGUCACCCAUGCUGGAGUGCAGUGGUGCAAUCUUGGCUCACUGCAAUCUCCUGCCUCAGCCUCCGGAGUAGCUGGGACUACAGGUGCCUGCCACCACGCCCGGGGAGCAGCUCCACAACUACCACAUCUCCAUGAAUUGAGCGGUUUCGAGCCUUCAUCCCGUGGAUUAGGAUGUCACUGACUAAAUCUGUGUUUGGGGCAGCACAGAAAACAACCAUAAAGCCAAGGGAAUGGCACACCAGUGAGGCAUUCUGCGCAUGAUAUACUCGAAGUCUAAUCAGCACUCCUGCAGGUAAAGCUUCUUUCUUU
rnacentral:antisense_RNA from 1 species